UACAGAGGUCUCAAGCGUUGUUCGGAUUCAUUGGGCGUAAAGGGUGCGUAGGUGGCGUCGUAAGUGGGGUGUGAAAUCCCGGGGCUUAACCCCGGGACUGCAUUCCAUACUGCCGUGACUCGAGUCCGGUAGGGGAGUGUGGAAUUCCCGGUGUAGCGGUGAAAUGCGCAGAUAUCGGGAGGAACACCAGUAGCGAAGGCGGCACUCUGGGCCGGUACUGACGCUGAGGAGCGAAAGCGUGGGGAGCAAACAGG
rnacentral:rRNA from 1 species